UACGUAGGGGGCAAGUGUUGUCCGGAAUCAUUGGGCGUAAAGCGCGUGUAGGCGGCCAGGUAAGUCCGUUCUGAAAGCCCGGGGCUCAACCCCGGGAGGCGGAUGGAUACUGCUUGGCUCGAGUCCGGAAGAGGCGAGUGGAAUUCCCGGUGUAGCGGUGAAAUGCGCAGAUAUCGGGAGGAACACCGGUGGCGAAGGCGGUUCUCUGGGCCUUACCUGACGCUGAGGAGCGAAAGCGUGGGGAGCGAACAGG
rnacentral:rRNA from 1 species